UACAGAGGGUGCGAGCGUUGUCCGGAAUCACUGGGCGUAAAGGGCGCGUAGGCGGUGACUUAAGCGUGUGGUGAAAGCUCGGGGCUCAACCCCGAGUCGGCCGUGCGAACUGGGUCACUGGAGCAUGUCAGAGGCAGGCGGAAUUCCGGGUGUAGCGGUGGAAUGCGUAGAGAUCCGGAAGAACACCGGUGGCGAAGGCGGCCUGCUGGGCAGUGGCUGACACUGAGGAGCGAAAGCGUGGGUAGCGAACAGG
rnacentral:rRNA from 1 species